UACGUAGGGUGCAAGCGUUAAUCGGAAUUACUGGGCGUAAAGCGUGCGCAGGCGGCUUUGCAAGACAGAUGUGAAAUCCCCGGGCUUAACCUGGGAACUGCAUUUGUGACUGCAUGGCUGGAGUGCGGCAGAGGGGGAGGGAAUUCCGCGUGUAGCAGUGAAAUGCGUAGAUAUGCGGAGGAACACCGAUGGCGAAGGCAAUCCCCUGGGCCUGCACUGACGCUCAUGCACGAAAGCGUGGGGAGCAAACAGG
rnacentral:rRNA from 1 species